rnacentral:lncRNA from 1 species
ACUACGGAUGCUCGACUGCUGGGUGUAGUGGGCUUUACACAACACGUGCCGCGUUCGGCUUGGGAAUAAAUAGUAAUAGAUUAGUAAAUGAUUAAUUAAUUAUUAAUUAUUAAAAAAUAUAAAAUAGAUUAAUAUGAUUUUCUAAAACAAUUUUUUUAGAAAUUUUUUUAAAAAAUAUACCGUUUAGCAGUUUGGAAAACGUGUCCAUGAAAAAUGAGAAAAUAAGUUAACUAGCGAACGUGGCCACAGUAGAACUCUAGGACCCAAACAAUCCGAGAAGCAUUUUUUUAAACACACGGGUGUAUAUACACCCAUGGUUUACAUGUCAUCUAAAUAGUCAUAAAAAAUAUGAAAAAAUUUAACAAGAUAGUUUAAUAUGAGUUAUAUCACUCCACCCACAUGAAGUUUAAAUUCAUCUUUUACAAGUUGUAGUAAAAAUAACAAAAACAAUUAUGAAUAUGCGUAUAGUUAGUUUUAGUUUUAUUUGUUUUUUCUACAACUUGUAGAAGUUGAAUUUAAACUUGCAUGUUUAUAGAGUGAUAUAACUCAUAUUAAUCUAUCUUGUCAAUUUUUUUUCAUAUUUUUUAAUAACUAUUUAUAUGGCAUGCAAGCACACGGGUAUACCCGUGUACUAACAACUAUUUUCCGAUAUGCUCCGAUAUACCUUUAGGGCGCUUUUGGCAGGCUGUAAUAGGCCACCGUACGCGGACUGGCCAUGCUCAACGCCACUAUUCGCUACUUAAAACGUUGACCCAGAUUUCAAGCCCCUAAAUUUCUUAAUUACCUAAUGAAGCUACAACUAUUAGAUAAAAAAUGGAGUAGAAGCUAAAGAAUUACUCGUACCUAAAAUCGAUCAAUGAAACCAGAACUGAAGAAAGUUCUCUUUCCAUAUCACACUAAAACAAUCGCGCUAAGGUUUUAAUCAGAAGCAAGCUGCCUUGAACUCCACUACUCAUCUUACUAUUUUUACACAUAUAGAAACUGGAGUUAUUUCAUAGCUUAAGUAUGUUUCGCUUGUGAAAAAUGAGCAGAAGCAUAAUUGAAAUACACAUAUUUUAUUAAGAGGUUAAUGAUGAGUUUAGAUGGUUACCUAGUUAGAGGAACUUGAGAUAUUCAAAUAUCAGAAUUAUUUGGUUGCCACGAUGAGGAUGGAGCAUCAGCUGUCUAACGUUCUGAAACCAAAUCAGCCCAAUUAAUACAUCAAACUUUAAAGCACUAUACUUCACCAAUAAAAUGAAAUAUUGGUUCAGGUUUCAGGCACCUUGUAUGGUAUGAACGACUUCAUUGAGGCAGGUUGCUCAGGAGGCUGGAGCCUUACAUCAUCCUUAGUUGAACUGAACAUUUGCCAAGAUAACUGUGAUACAUUAUCCUAUAGAAGCAAAUAUCAAGCUUGAAGAAUGUGUAACCUGUAAACUGAGGGAGCUUUUGUCACAACCAAUAUCAGGUAGUACUCAACAAGCAACACCAAUUUAUUAGGACUAUUAAAAAAGGCAACAUGGACAUUUAGCUGACUCAUUCCAUAGCAAGAAAUGCUGCUGCCUUGAUCAAUCAUGCACAUAGAAAAGGAGCAAGCAAUCACAUUACUGCAACAGAGGAAGACACCAGAGCACUGACCCAGAAUUCCCCCCUUCUGAAGCAAUUG